CACGUAGUUCGCCGGUGCUUCUUUACCCAUUACCGUCACUCACGCUUCGUCACAGGCGAAAGCGGUUUACAACCCGAAGGCCGUCAUCCCGCACGCGGCGUUGCUGCAUCAGGCUUCCGCCCAUUGUGCAAUAUUCCCCACUGCUGCCUCCCGUAGGAGUCUGGGCCGUAUCUCAGUCCCAAUGUGGCCGGUCACCCUCUCAGGCCGGCUACCCGUCAAAGCCUUGGUAAGCCACUACCCCCACCAACAAGCUGAUAAGCCGCGAGUCCAUCCCCAACCGCCGAAACUUUCCAACCCCCACCAUGCAGCAGGAGCUCCUAUCCGGUAUUAGCCCCAGUUUCCUGAAGUUAUCCCAAAGUCAAGGGCAGGUUACUCACGUGUUACUCACCCGUUCGCCACUCGAGUACCCCACAAAAGCAGGGCCUUUCCGUUCGACUUGCAUGUGUUAAGCACGCCGCCAGCGUUCGUCCUGAGCCAGGAUCGAACUACU
rnacentral:rRNA from 1 species